CUGCGUGGGGGCACCCUGACCGCGAUGCCGCGUGGGUGAUGAAGGCCUUCGGGUUGUAAAGCCCUUUCGGCGGGGACGAUAGUGACGGUACCCGCAGAAGAAGCCUCGGCUAACUCCGUGCCGGCAGCCGCGGUAAGACGGAGGAGGCUAGCGUUGUUCGGAAUUACUGGGCGUAAAGCGCGCGCAGGCGGCUUAGCAAGUCAGGGGUGAAAGCCCGGGGCUCAACCUCGGAACUGCCUUUGAGACUGCUAGGCUCGAGACCGAGAGAGGAGAGUGGAAUUCCCAGUGUAGAGGUGAAAUUCGUAGAUAUUGGGAAGAACACCAGUGGCGAAGGCGGCUCUCUGGCUCGGUACUGACGCUGAGGCGCGAAA
rnacentral:rRNA from 1 species